rnacentral:rRNA from 1 species
UGAGGGAAAGUUGCAAAGAACUUUGAAGAGAGAGUUCAAGAGUACGUGAAACUGCUCGGAAGAAAACGGGUGGAUCUUCGAAGUCCGAGCGGAGCGGGAUUCAGUGGCGGGCGUCGGGGCGCGUCCGGAGCUCGUACCUCUUCGGGGGACGGGCGACGGUCACGUUCUCGCGUCAGCCGCGCACUUCUCGCUCCCGACGGACGCCGCAGCCGGUCGGGAGUCGGCAGUGAGGACUGGCGGGGCGAUGGCGUGGGCGGCGAUCCAGCAUCGUCGUCCCGAUUCUGUACCCGUCGUGUUCCCGGUGCGACGCCAGGCCGAGGGAAGGAGUCCGCACCUGGUGCGGACGUGCCGUGGUCUCGCCAUGACGGCAGAGCGGGAGAGCGGUCCGGUCCAACCGGUCAGAACGUUCACCACGAGCGUGAGCGAUCGACGAAGGUGCUCCGGAAGGUCGCGACCCACCCGCGGAGGCGAGCCUCGGGCUUGCGGCGAGUAGGUCGGUAACCCACCUGACCCGUCUUGAAACACGGACCAAGGAGUCUAACUUGUGCGCGAGUCAGUGGGACUCGAAUAAGCCCACGGGCGCAAUGAAAGUAAAGUGACGUUCUAUGUUCGUCGCGAUCCCGCAGCCUCGUGCUCGGGCGCAGCGACGGUCCGGCUCUUCGGUCAGCUUCGCGCUGGCCGUGGUCGGUGCCUGAGCGUACAGGUUGGGACCCGAAAGAUGGUGAACUAUGCCCGGGCAGGUCGAAGCUAGAGGAAACUCUGGUGGAGGACCGCAGCGGUUCUGACGUGCAAAUCGAUCGUCGAACCUAG